UACGUAGGGCGCAAGCGUCGUCCGGAAUUACUGGGCGUAAAGCGUACGCAGGCGGCUUUGCAAGACAGGUGUGAAAUCCCCGGGCCUAACCUGGGAACUGCAUUUGUGACUGCAUAGCUAGAGUCUGUCAGAGGGGGGUGGAAUUCCACGUGUAGCAGUGAAAUGCGUAGAGAUGUGGAAGAACACCGAUGGCGAAGGCAGCCCCCUGGGAUGAGACUGACGCUCAUGUACGAAAGCGUGGGGAGCAAACAGG
rnacentral:rRNA from 1 species